GUUAGAUCACCCUUCAAUUUUUUUUAUCGCCAUUUUAAAAAUGGCCGCCGACAAUAAACCGGCAAUACACCAGACCCCGUAUCUUUGCUUCUGUUAGAGCUAUAAUCAUAAUAUUGGUGUCAAAGUGCACAUUUUUGGGGUCUAGGAAUUCAAUUAAAUAGGUUUCAAUGUAAAAAACCCAAUGCAUCAUUAAUUACCAUGACAACGGGGGGUAAAAUAUGCAAAUUUCAUGAAAAAAUGUACGUUUUGACAGGGUAACUUACCCCCCCAACCCUCCCCCUAAACUGAGAUUUACUGUUCCUUUGGCAUGGAAGUACCUUAGGGCCAUAGGAAACAUUUUAUCCAAAGAGACAAGUUAGAUCACCCUUCAAUUUUUUUUAAUAGCCAUUUUAAAAAUGGCUGCCGACAAUAAACCGCUAAUACACCAGACCCCAUAUCUUUUCUUCUGUUGGAGCUAUAAUCAUAAUAUUGGUGUCAAAGUGCACAUUUUUGGGGUCUAGGAAUUCAAUUAAAUAGGUUUCAAUGUAAAAAACCCAAUGCAUCAUUAAUUUCCAUGACAGUGGGGGGUAAAAUAUGCUAAUUUCAUUAUAAAAUGUACGUUUUGACAGGGUAACUUACUCCCCCACCCCUCCCCCUAAACUGAGAUUUACUGUUCCUUUGGCAUGGAAGUACCUUAGGGUCAUAGGAAACAUUUUAUCCAAAGAGACAAGUUAGAUCACCUUUCAUUUAUUUUAUAGCCAUUUUAAAAAUGGCUGCCGACAAUAAACCGCUAAUACACCAGACCCCAUAUCUUUUCUUCUGUUGGAGCUAUAAUCAUAAUAUUGGUGUCAAAGUGCACAUUUUUGGGGUCUAGGAAUUCAAUUAAAUAGGUUUCAAUGCAAAAAACCCAAUGCAUCAUUAAUUUCCAUGACAGCGGGGGGUAAAAUAUGCAAAUUUCAU